rnacentral:rRNA from 1 species
GACGAACGCUGGCGGCGUGCUUAACACAUGCAAGUCGAACGGAAAGGCCCUGCUUUUGUGGGGCGCUCGAGUGGCGAACGGGUGAGUAAAACGUGAGUAACCUGCCCUUGACUUUGGGAUAACUUCAGGAAACUGGGGCUAAUACAGGAUAGGAGCUCCUGCUGCAUGGUGGGGGAUGGAAAGUUUCGGCGGUUGGGGAUGGACUCGAGGCUUAUCAGCUUGUUGGUGGGGUAGUGGCUUACCAAGGCUUUGACGGGUAGCCGGCCUGGGAGGGUGACCGGCCACAUUGGGACUGAGAUACGGCCCAGACUCCUACGGGAGGCAGCAGUGGGGAAUAUUGCACAGUGGGCGGAAGCCUGAUGCGGCAACGCCGCGUGCGGGAUGACGGCCUUCGGGUUGUAAACCGCUUUCGCCUGUGACGAAGCGUGAGUGACGGUAAUGGGUAAAGAAGCACCGGCUAACUACGUG